rnacentral:rRNA from 1 species
UACGGAGGAUCCGAGCGUUAUCCGGAUUUAUUGGGUUUAAAGGGUGCGCAGGCGGGGGAUUAAGUCGGCGGUGAAAUUUUGCAGCUCAACUGUAAAAGUGCCUUCGAAACUGGUUUCCUUGAGUGUAGAUGAAGUAGGCGGAAUUUGUGGUGUAGCGGUGAAAUGCAUAGAUAUCACGAGGAACUCCGAUUGCGCAGGCAGCUUACUAAGCUACUACUGACGCUCAGGCACGAAAGCGUGGGGAUCAAACAGGAUUAGAUACCCGGGUAGU